CCCAACAAAAAUGUGUGCCCAUACUCAUUGUGGUGGAGAGACAAAGUCCCAGAAAGAGAGGGGGGCUGAGGGGCAGCAACAGGUAACAGAUCUCCUUCUGUCACCUGUUCCUUACACCACCACUGACAACAAGGACCCCCAUUCACAACCCACCCUCCUAUUCUUCCCUCAAACUAUGAAUAAGUAAUCAUUCCAUCCAAGAGGCAGGCAGGGAACUUGGACCAGACCAUUUCAUGUGGCAGCCGCGGGUAAAGCGAUCCGCCCAUCAUGGGCAACCAGAGCCUGAGAGGGCCUCUUCUUCAGCCGGUCUGUAACCCAACCUGUGGCUUUCGCUCUCUCUGUUUACCUGCCGCAUCAGGCCGGCCCUUUAUUCCAUGAGGUAAGAAGUAAGCCAAGUGAGAGCUGAACCAGUGAUUUCAGAGAGACGAGAAAUACGGAUAUCAUGGCAAACAGUGUCAAAGGCCGAGCUAAGGUCAAGAAGAAAUUAGAUAUUUGUAGACCCAGAAUCCACAGACAGGAGGAUGUCAAUAACCACCCAAAGGAGAGCCGUCUCAGUGCUGUAUGAUUGCAGAGGUCCCUGGGUUGGCUCACAGUCUGGAUGGGGGUUCCUGGUUCAAAAACAGUUAACAACACCUGCAAGAGAUCACUGAUCUGAGAAAUCUUUUUAUUCAUCCUCAACACUAGUCGUUGCCACAACAAGAACAAACUUCCCAUGUUUACACACCUUACAGUGGACAACUUGAUCUAAUGCAAACAUUUCAAGAUAAAUGGACAAAUUUGAUG